UCUGUCCAUCCCCCCUCCCCGAGCCUCGACACGGGAUUCGCCACGCCACCUCACCCUCGCAGGAGCUCCGCCCACACCUGCACAACCAGUCAACCAGGAGCCCAUAUUUGGAGCAGAGGGGGAGUGGCCAGGGGGCAGAGGGGCGGGACCCUCAGAAGCAGGAGUGGUACACCAAGUACUUCUCCUUCUGAACACACACACACACACACACACACACACACACACACAUUUCCCAAGCUUACACACAAACACGCUAUUGCCUCAUUUACACAGUAUCGCCUCAAACACACACACACACACACCAGCAAGACCAACCCGCCUACAUCACCUCAAAUCAACCAAGAAGUGCUUCCCACACACUCUCUCAGCUCACAGCCUCUGAUGAUCAGCAACACUCACAGCAGAUCACUACACACCUGCACUACACACAUCAGGUUUAAACACACACACACACACACACACAGCAGAUUUCUACACACCUGCACUACACACUCAUCAGCUUUAAACACACACACACACACACACACAGCAGAUCUCUACACACCUGCACUACACACUCAUCAGCUUUAAACACACACACACACACACACACACACACAGCUGAUCUCUACACACCUGCACUACACACAUCAGGUUUAAACACACACACACACACACAGCUGACCUCUACACAUCAGCUACAAAUACAAAACACCUGACAGACCAAAACUAUGCUUGUUCAAUGCAAAUGUAUGUAUUAUAAUCAGUAAUAUGGAAUAAAGUAUUUUCUUUAUAUUUAA